AUUUACAAGUGAAGUUUAAUGUGAGAAAUAAAAUUUCCUAAUUAAAACAUGUCUAUAUUUAAUCAUUUUUAAAUU
rnacentral:miRNA from 1 species